AUCGAACGCUGGCGGUAUGCUUAACACAUGCAAGUCGAACGGCAGCACAGUAUGUAGCAAUACAUAUGGGUGGCGAGUGGCGGACGGGUGAGUAACGCGUAGGAAUCUACCCUAAAGCGGGGGACAACCCGAGGAAACUCGGGCUAAUACCGCAUAAUCUCGAAAGAGUAAAGCUGGGGCAACCUGGCACUUUAGGAGGAGCCUGCGUCCGAUUAGCUAGUUGGUGAGGUAAAGGCUCACCAAGGCGAUGAUCGGUAGCUGGUCUGAGAGGAUGGUCAGCCACACUGGGACUGAGACACGGCCCAGACUCCUACGGGAGGCAGCAGUGGGGAAUAUUGGACAAUGGGGGCAACCCUGAUCCAGCAAUACCGCGUGUGUGAAGAAGGCCUUAGGGUUGUAAAGCACUUUAGUUGGGGAAGAAGGAUAGUUGUUUAAGAGAUGAUUAUUUUGACGGUACCCAAAGAAUAAGCACCGGCUAACUCUGUGCCAGCCGCCGCAGUAA
rnacentral:rRNA from 1 species